AAGGAUACCCUGACCGGCCCUUCCAAGCACAGGCAACUACCCCCUGCCCACCUUUGCGCCCACUCAGAGCAUGGCUAUUCCCACAGCCCACCGGGCCUUGGUCUACCUGGUCCUGUGGGUGCUCCCUGUAGGCUCCUGGAGCAGAGUCCAUCCUGACCCAUCCUCCUGCUCUGCUGGGCUUCCUGGGACAUUGUCAGUACCCAGUGCCCCGUGUGAUCCACCUUCCGAAGUAGACUGCAGUUUCAUUAGCAGAACAGUUGUGGAAUUAGGUUCUCACUGUCUAAUGAAUCUGACUAUUGGGUUCACAUUAUACAGGAGCCUUUAAUUAAAUAGAUAUAGAAAGGUUGGAAUACAAAGCUAGUUACAGCAUGCUCUCUUUUGCAAGUUAAUUUUAUCCAAUUUUAGCAGGGUUGACUCUGCGGCUGCUGGUGAUUUUGCUCCAAUUCGGGCAAAGCUUCUCUGCCCCCGCGAGGCGUGGAGAGGGGAGAGGGCACUGACCUGCAGCAUGGCAGGUGUUCUUGGUGGAGGGAGGGAUUCAGCAGGUCCAGGGCUGCUGCUUCGAGGCCAAGGGGGUCACCUGGGUUCGGUGGGAGAGGCCUCCACACUUCCCUGCCAGGGCCAGGGCUCUUUUCCCUCUGAUUCCCUUGCCUUUCGAUCUUGGGGUCACAUUUUGGGAGAGAAGAGAGAGAGCUGUCUUUUCACUUGGUCUUGCUCUUUCCCAUCUAGCCCACUGCCAAUGUCUGCUCUUCUUUCCCUCGUCGGCCCUCCAGGCGGUUGGCGGUUCGGAGUUGGUAAAUGAGCCUAGGCUUUGGGGUUGGGCAGGUGAAGGUUCACAUCAUAUCUGUGACAUGUGCUGGAUGACCUCAGGCAGAUUUGUCCCCUAACCCCCCGUUUCUGCAUCUGUAAAGGGCGGAUGUUGCUAACUCAUAUCAAGUAGUUAAGAGAAUGUAUGAUAAAGGCAGCUACAGCACGCUCUCUGCCACACAGUCAGUGUUUAAUACAUGACCAUACAGUUGGUGUUUAAUAAAUGUCCGUUGCUUCUGCUUCCACCUUCCUCCCUUUUCCCCAGUCCUAAGUUGUUGUUCUGGAGUGUUGCCAUCACCGUACACCUGUUGAGGACAGUCUGGCCUCCAGCACGGAGAUGCCACUGGGGAGCUUCGUAUGCUUCUGCGAGCCCCUGUCUCGCUGCCCAGCCCCUGGGCUCUCUGCACUGUGUGGGGUGCCACUUUCCCAGGCCUUCACAGCCCUGUGUAAGGUGCCCUGACUCCUCACGUCCCACUCUUCCCUCUUCCAGAUCCAGGGAUGGGGCCACACCAGGCAGCUGUCUCUUGUAUCCCCAUGUCUUUAUGUUCCAUUCCUCCUUCCUAUGGGGCCUCCCCAUACCCACCCCUGGCUCUAUGGAAUUAUCCUGAUCCCUGAACCUGCCCCACAUGGGCACACAGUCCAGGUGUCCCUGUGUUUGGCAUCUGCUUGGUACCCGUACGCUCAUUUUAUUUUUAUAACUCACACCUCUGGUCUUCUUGCUCCCCUUCAUCUUUGUAGGUUUCGGGGGUGGGGGGUGGAGGUGUCAUGAGCUGUCUGCCAACCGGUUGGUGGCCCUCCCCAAACGCAGAGUGCGGCCUCCCAUUUCAUUUGCUCUCUGCUCCAGGCCCCUGUGUGGUCUCGAACCACGGGGUGUUGGACAUUGCAUGUUGGUAGAAGAGCUUGUGGUUACGCUCCCUCGCCCUCGCUGUAACUCAGCCCGGGAAGCUUGCUUUCUCCUUACAGUUUCCUUGCGUCUAGGGUGCUUGCCAGAUGGGUGCGCUAUCACUUUGCUCCGGGUGCCGACCAGCACAGCUGGCUUUCUGCUCUGUGUGGAAUGACCCCUUUCCCUCCACGUGGAGUAACCUUCCCCAGUCUCCCCACAUCCUCCAGGGUCCUUCCCACCGGAAGCAAUCGUGCCUUCUUUGGGGUCCGUAUCUCUUUAGCUGAAGCUGUCUUUGGGCACAAUCUUACUUCUCUUGACUUAACCUCCCCCUACUUGGGAGUCAGGAUUAGGAAUUUGGGCGUCUCCGUCCUGACCAGGUGACCUUGGACAAGAAACAGAAGCCCUCUGAGCCUGAACGCAAGGCCCCCCAUUAGACACUCAGCACUUAGCCGAACACACAAUAGGCUCUCAGAAAUGUAACUUCCCUUUUCCUCUGUUCCCCUGAUAGACUGGAUAAGCUACUUGGGGACCUGAUCUGUUCCCGUGUGUGGAGCAUGUACGUGGCACAUUACCGGAGUCUUGUAGAUACUGGUUGAAUGGAUGACUACAGCCUGGGAGGUCGGGCACCUCAAGGGAAUGCCAUGCUCCAUCCGGGUCUCUCCUGCAGUAGGAAGCAUCUCAGGGCUUCACUGGAGGGCCGCUAGGAGCCCACUGGCCCGAAUGUGCUGUGCUGCCCUAGCCAGGGCUCCGUCAGGAAGCGCACCCCAGCAGUGUCUGUAAGGCGGGCGGGGGCAGCACUGAGGGGAAGAGCUGCUUACACACAUUCGGGUGGGCCCGAGCCCCCCCUUCAGAGAAGAGGAAGGCCUUUGUGUCAGCCCCCGAGAUGCCGCCACUUCAGGGUCCUGUGGUCUCAUACGCAUACCCUAGCAACUUUGGGCCUCUUUUCCUCUGCAGUCUGUGCAAACGGUUCAUCCCUCUGACUUUCACUUGCCGCUGCCCUUGUUAAAGAGGAUUCGGUGAUGGGGAAGGUGUGAUGGGUCUUCACAACAGGGCCUUCAUUCCCCCUGCAGAUAACUCUUAACCUGCUUCAACGCUGUUUUUUCUGGACCCGCUUACCACUCCCCUCCCCAAGCCCUGUGCCAAGAUGGCUUGAAAAUAAAACAGCAGCAAGGGCUUCGUGAGGCUAGAGCACACCCCGAAUUGUUUUUUGCCCUUGCUGUUAAACAGCAGAGGCCCCAGGCCUCCAGAGAAACCUGGCUGUGUCAGGGAGGUGGAGUUGGGGGGCUGGGCCAGCAGUGCCAGCUUUUUUCCUGGAUUCCAGUAGCAGAAGUUGGGUUUUACCCAGUCCAGUUCCUCCCCGAGUCUCACAAUAACAGAACUAUGUGAGGUUUGAGAGGAGACGUUUAAUUAGAUGACCAAGGUUUUCUUGGUGCUGAAGGCUCCGUGCAGGGAGCCGACAGCAAGGCUGGCCCCUAAGGGCCUGUGGUGUGGACCCAGCUUAAGGGAGAUCAGCAGGGCAGAGCAUCACAGAACAACAGUGGUUCCAGAGCCUGGGACCAUGUUUUGAGAGGGGGCAGGCCGUGGAGAAGGGAGUCUGGGCUCCGGAUCGGGGUCAGGAUGCUCCUGGCUUCCCCUCCAUGUGGUUGCUGCCCUGGAAAGGCUCGCUCCUGCUGGUUCUCCUUCUCAGCGGAGCUGCACGGCGCUCACUUCCUCGCGGGCUCUGCGUGCUCGGCGCCCCACCCCCUCUUGGCGAGCGUGGCCCGUGUUUGUUAUUGUAGUUCUGGCGCUGGGCCAGGCCUGGCUGGGCGCCAGCCUUGUGGGUACAGUGUGUACAGUGAGUGCCGAGCCAAGUUUGUCAUCAUACACGAUUAAUUUUUUUUUUUUUCUCAUCUGGUAGGGGUGGGGUGAAGGAGGAGGCAAGACGGAGUUUCUCGGAUGCUUGAGAACAGGCCUGGUUGAAUUCUGCGGAGAUAAUAUUUCCUUCCCAGCUUUCCUUUCUCUCGAAUCAUCUCCCUCCUCUCCUCCACGUUUUCCUAUCCAGGGAAAUCGGCCUGUGUGAGAUCGACACUGUGAGGUCUUAUUUUCAGUGACUGGAAUACCAAAUUUACACUCCUAAAUCAGUUUUCAUUGUGUUGAAAUUGACAAUUUGUUUAAUUAGAAGUUUGCCCUGUAGGAGGCCCUUCUCAGAGACAGUUCUUUCUUUCUCUUUCUCUUUUUUUGCUUUUUUUAAGACCCUGCGUGGUAGAAGUGAACGUUCGGUUUCAAUGAAGUUUUGAUUUCGAUUUGAAUGCCUUCACUAAUCAAGUGUUUAUGAGAUAUACCCGAUGAUCACAAUACGUUGAAAUUAACAAACAAUCACCCCACUCACUAACUAAUGAGAUUGAUCUGGCCGGACCCUGCAUUCUCAGAGGUGGUUUGGGGAUCAAGAGGUUUGGGGCCUUGGCAGAGGGGCUUGGGGUGGGAAGAGUGACCUAUGGGGUUCUCCACAAAGCUGCUCUUUCUGGGAGGGGUUGUGAAUUUGAGGAGGGGGUGCAAGGAGCCGGGGAAGAGACCCAGCCCCUCGUCAUCCCCAGAUCACUCUGCAAUCUCCUACCCAUCGUUUGCUGCUGCCGUAUCCCUUGUGGGAGCAUCCGUGAGCUGCUAUCUCGUGCCCACUCCUUGUUCUCACUUAGGAGAACGUCCUAACCCUGGGAGGUCCAUGCAGAAACCGCACACCUGGGGGAUGAGUUGAGUGGGUUCUGCGAUUUGCCCGGGUCAGGUUUCCCAUUAGGUAGUGUUUCCCACAGCUUGGCCUAACGUCCUGGUGGAUGCUAAGAGAGCACACCCUGUUUUUGCCUUGGCCACAUGCUAUUUAGAGGCUUGCAGAGUUCUGUGGCCAGCUUCUAUUCUGGGAGCAUCAUCCGUCAGGCUCCGUGUGCUUCUUACUGGAGAACAGGCAUCACCCCUGCCCUCCAGGCGCUUACGUCUCAUUGGAGAGAUGUUUGACCGUGAAGUUGGGAUAAAAGAAGGGUAAAACCAAGAGAUACCCAAGAAGGAAACUUCCCAGGUCUCCUCCGUCUCCCUCAGCAUCCCUGCCGAGGGGUGUUGUUUACAGCAAGUGACAGGUCCUGUGAUGGUGUUGGGUGCCAUGCUGGCUCCAGGGCCAUUAAAGUUCCCCCAUCUCUGCACCUCAGUUCGGCUGGAUGUGUGUGUGCCUGGGUCCCCCAGCCCUGAAGAUGUCACAUCAGACCCGCCGAAGAGAGAAAGUUCAGAGAGUUCAUUGCAG